rnacentral:lncRNA from 1 species
CACAGCUACAGGACCAGGAGGGGAAUUCAAUCUGUUUGACUUCAGAGCCUGGCCCAUUCCUUUUAUGACUUAGGUUCUGAGCCUCCAAAGCACACAAGGGAGCCUUAUACUUUCAAAAGCUCAGUGGGCUUCUCUGCACCGUGAGUGGGAGCCACUUGCCCUGGCUGGCUUCUUCCCAACUUCUAGCCCUUUCUCACCCACUCUUCAUCUUUUUGCUCUUCUUCAGUCCCCAGAUUCUCUUAGCUUUUCUCCUCCGUGUCCUUUUUUAUCCUAACGUGUUUUUUUGAGACAUUUCAAACGCUAACAAGUUGAGGUAUUGGACAGCAAACGCUAACCCUCAGCCACCAGCUCGAUGUCAUCUUUCUGUGCCUGGACUUAGUGUCCCACCUACCUGCCUGUCUCUUCAUCUCUCCCUGUGGCUGUAAGUUUAUCUCAUUAUUUUGUCACAUUUCACAGCAACUUGCAGGUGUAGAUCCACUUCUCCAGGGUUUUUUGUUUGUUUGGCGUUUUUUUGUAUUUUAAAACAAAAGUUUUAAAAAAUAUUGUCCUGGGGUCUCCAUGUUAUUGUUCCCCUCCUCUUCUCACAUCAGCCACAUCCCAGACCUGAGUGAUGCCACCUAUCUGUCCCCUUACGCACUCAAAGUGGUGGGUCUGUGGAGGGGCAGGACCUGUUGCACCAUCUGCAGUUGAAAUUGCCCCUAGUGUCCCCUCUUCACCUUAUGGGCCUCCAACCUCCCGGGGUACGGUGGUUCAAGCCCCAUUCCUGUUCAGUAACCUGCUGUAACUCCCAUUGCUCUUGUUGCUCUGCUCAGCACUGGGAAGGUGUGGAGGUAACGCCCUACUAACAGGUUUCUCAAGAUGAGGACCCUGCAAAGCCACUGGGUGGUUGUAAAAACUCUUGUUCUUGGGCACCAACAUGGAGCGGAAUCUUUAGCAAUGGUCAACAAGAUUCUCACCAGAGCUGAGCUAGAUGCCUGCACCAGCCCUUAAGCCUCCAAAACUUACCAGGAGAUUGAACCCAGGGGAGCUCUACAGUGAGCUACAUCUUUGCCUUGAGAUAUUUGAGUUUCCAUCUGGAAAAAAGUUCAUGGAUCAUCAUGUUUGAGCGGUAGUGGAGGGAGAGGCCACAUUCAUUGGCCCUCCAGCUCUGCUAAUAGAUGUGACCCAGCAACAUCUGUGUCGGAAGCAGAAAGGUGGUGUCAUCACAUUUCUCUCUGAGGAACCCUAGCAAUAAUCUGAUUCAUGAAAACACACACAUCCUUCCUGGAGCCCUGGAACUGAAUACAAAUUCAUUGCCCACCAUUCCUAGAAUAUGGACCUGGUGUAGCUCACCUCCUGACACUGGGUUGUCAGGCAGAUAGCACUUGGAUUUAUUAACAACCACAUUCCUUUCCUGUUCCUAUUUCAACUAUCAUUCUAAAAGAUGUCUAAGAGGGAAAAACCAAAAUCACAAGACUGGACUCAUUUCAUCUGUUGGAAUCCACAAUUCUCCAGCUGCUUGAAGGAUAGCUCAAGCCUUGUGUGAUGGGCACAUGAAGACCACUCAUUGGGGGGGGAUUCCUCUUUCGCAGACACACCUGGCCGCACCUCCCCUUAGCCUUAGAUUUUUAUUUAAUUAUAGCAGAGAAGAGAUUUCUAUUGGGGAUAUUUUCCCACUUGACAGCAACUUUAGCCAAUUCUUUAAUCCUGAUAGUACAUUCUUCUUUAAUAU